rnacentral:rRNA from 1 species
GGUUUCCGUAGGUGAACCUGCGGAAGGAUCAUUACCGAUGUAAUCCAAAAGCACGACUCCGUCGUGACUACCGUGUGAACUGUACCAAACUAUUCAGGGGUCGGCCGGUCCGUUAAAUGGCGGUCGGACGCGUGCACUGCGCGGCCGCUCCGCCAGCCCCGCCUGUGUUUUUUAACAUACGUGUCUUGUCUGAAAACGUGACCACUGCCGUGGUCUAGAGCAAAUGAAAAGAGAGACAACUUUUGACGGUGGAUCUCUUGGCUCACGCAUCGAUGAAGAACGCAGCCAGCUGCGAUAAGUAGUGUGAAUUGCAGAAUUCAGUGAAUCAUCGAAUCUUUGAACGCAAAUGGCGCUCUUGGGUUCUCCCAGGAGCAUGUCUGUCUGAGUGUCGGAUAUCAUCCAACGCACCAAGCGGUGCGGCGUUGAGGCGUCACGGCCCUUCUUGCGGCCGUGUCCCUUGAAAGUUAGAGAGACUCGCCGCGGCACGGGCCCGUUCCCUGCACACUCGCGGAGGCUAAAAACGCUUUUGCCCUUCGCGUGCACGGGAGCGACUCGUCCGCCGAGUCGCGGAGGCGAAACCUUUUCAACUCUUGACCUCAGAAUCAGG